UCAUCUCUCUUGAUCUUCUUGGAGUCGUCAUGACCAAGUGAAGUAUUUAAUUUGUACUGGUGUGCCUGGGCCUAGAUAUGGCUACAUGGCCAAAUAGAAAAUGUUCUCUACAGCUAUACUGAUAAUUCCAGGGUGACAUGAGGUGAUGCCAGUUCAGAGGUUGUGCAUGAAUAAGCGUUUCCCCUUGCCUGGAAGGUAGUGUAUUUACCAUGAGGAGGAAUAAUAUUUUGCAUUUGCAUCUGCUUACCGAUCAUCGGAAAACACGAUCCUCCUAGCAAGGCCUUGCUCAUGCUCAACUUGUUCUCUUGUUUUUAACCCUGUGGAAGUGGCAGAAUUUUAUUUUGGUGAUUUCAGAAUUGCUACUUGAAGUGUUCUUUGUAACACCUGCCCUUCGCCAUGUUUACUUACAAUUGCAAAUACAAUAUAUGUCCCUACACCGUAGAUCAGCAUUGCAGGCCAAAAUGGUAGAACUUUGCCAUUUAAUAUGUUUGACAAGAAGGCGGCAUGCAUAAGGAGCUGCUGCAGAUUCUUACUUUUAGAAAGUAUCAAAUAUCCAUCGCAAGAGGCAGCUAGGCCAUGAGAUGGUGUUAGAAUCCGCAUGUGGUUCAUUCUUUUCUUUUGUCAAAUGAAAGACGGCUGAGGACUGGAAUUGUUUUCUUCUAAUACAACCACGCGCGGCAAGACAAAACUGAUGAUAUCAUGUUAUGUUCUGUUCCCCUAGAUCAUUUUGUUUGUUCAGGUUGUGUCAAGUUUAUGAACACAAAAACUACUCGCGAAUAUUUUCUAAGAUUACUGUUCCAGGAUUAAAUGUUUGGGUGUGGCACGUA